GACGAACGCUGGCGGCGUGCUUAACACAUGCAAGUCGAACGGAAAGGCCCUGCUUUUGUGGGGUGCUCGAGUGGCGAACGGGUGAGUAACACGUGAGUAACCUGCCCUUGACUUUGGGAUAACUUCAGGAAACUGGGGCUAAUACCGGAUAGGAGCUCCUGCUGCAUGGUGGGGGUUGGAAAGUUUCGGCGGUUGGGGAUGGACUCGCGGCUUAUCAGCUUGUUGGUGGGGUAGUGGCUUACCAAGGCGUUGACGGGUAGCCGGCCUGAGAGGGUGACCGGCCGCAUUGGGACUGAGGGACGGCCCAGACUCCUACGGGAGGCAGCAGUGGGGAAUAUUGCACAAUGGGCGGAAGCCUGAUGCAGCAACGCCGCGUGCGGGAUGACGGCCUUCGGGUUGUAAACCGCUUUCGCCUGUGACGAAGCGUGAGUGACGGUAAUGGGUAAAGAAGCACCGGCUAACUACGUG
rnacentral:rRNA from 1 species